UACUUUUAGAUGUGGUGGUUUGGUAAAGGUGGCUCCGGGUUUGGUUGGGCCGUUAGGGUUCCUUCAAGUUCUCACCAACUGCUCAUGUGUGUUGUUUCCACAUGAGCCAUUACCAUCUACCCUCUGGUUGCCCCCCCUCCUAAAGUGCACUUGUCCCUUUUCUUCUUCUAGCUCAACCCAUUACCCACCCCACUCCUUUUUUUGCACGAUUUAUGCGUUCUCUCUGUCUUUUCGCAUUUAGCACAUUCUCAUUCCAGCUUUUGCAUCUUGGUGCACGAAGACGAGUUUUUCUCUUCUCUCAACUCAAACUUGGAUGACAACAGGAAACAAAUCCACUUACUACUUGAACUAACACAUAAAGGUUAAUCUCAUCUCUUUAUAACACCAGUCCCACAUUUUCCAUCAUCAAACAUUUUGUUUCUUGAUUGAUUUCAUUUUACCUUUGCAACGAAUGAUCCCGUUUUUGGGAACGCCAAAUGCCCUAUUUUACAUCCAGACUGAACAGGUAAGGUAAGCAUAAAGAUCUAAGGCUGAGGAUUCUCACCUUUAAUCGCGACACCAAACACAUACCAGUGACAAGGUCUUCAUCGCAUGCAAAAUUCAGAUGAUGCACGAUUACAUUGAUAGAACUCAAAAUUAGAGAUACCAUGUUUCAAAGGAGAAAAAACUUCCAAGUCUAACAAGAGCAUUGCUACUUCAUCAAGUAGUAAUGUCGGUGAUCGCAAGUGUGCCAUUAAUUUAGAUGCUGAUCAUGGGAAGGCAUUUAAAAAGGCACCUUAUGCAGAUGUUAUCGAUCAAAGGUCAUUUAAUAUGGGCAAG